UACGUAGGCAGCAAGCGUUGUUCGGAGUUACUGGGCGUAAAGGGUGUGUAGGCGGUUCUUUAAGUUUGGUGUGAAAUCUCCCGGCUCAACUGGGAGGGUGCGCCGAAUACUGAGGGACUAGAGUACGGGAGAGGAAAGGUGGUGAAUUCCUGGUGUAGCGGUGAAAUGCGUAGAUAUCAGGAGGAACACCGGUGGUGUAGACGGCUUUCUGGACCGUAACUGACGCUGAGACACGAAAGCGUGGGUAGCAAACAGG
rnacentral:rRNA from 1 species